UACGUAGGGGGCGAGCGUUGUCCGAAGUUACUGGGCGUAAAGCGCGCGUAGGCGGUCUAUUAAGUCUGAGGUGAAAGGUUCAGCGCUCAACGCGAACAGUGCCUUGGACUACUGGUAGACUUGAGUGUGGCAGAGGAGUAUGGAAUUCCUGGUGUAGCGGUGAAAUGCGUAGAUAUCAGGGGGAAUACCGAUGGCGAAGGCAGUACUCUGGGCUAACACUGACGCUGAGGUGCGAAAGCGUGGGGAGCAAACAGG
rnacentral:rRNA from 1 species